rnacentral:rRNA from 1 species
GAUGAACGCUGGCGGCGUGCCUAAUACAUGCAAGUCGAACGAACAGACGAGGAUUUUGCUCUUCUGACGUUAGCGACGGACGGGUGAGUAACACGUGGACAGCCUACCUCUAAGACUGGGACAACGUCGAGAAACCGGAACUACGACCGGAUAACAUAUUGAACCGCAUGGUUCAAUAGUGAAAUACGGUUUUGCUGUCCCUUCGAGAUGGAUCCUCGCCGCAUUAGCAAGUUGGUAAGGUAACGGCUUACCAAGGCAACGAGGCGUAGCCGGCCUGAGAGGGUGAGCCGCCACAAGGGGACGGAGACACGGUCCAGACUCCUACGGGAGGCAGCAGUAGGGAAUGUUGCAGAAUGGGGGAAAGCUGGACGGAGCGAGGACGCGUGAGGGAUGAAGGUCUUGUGAUCGUAAAACUCUGUUAUUAGGGAAGAACAAAUGUGUAAGUAACUAGGCACGCCGUGACGGUACCUAAACAAAAAGCCACGGCUAACUACGUG